CACCUCCCCAGAUUGCCUCUCGAGAGUGACCAGUGCUCCGUCAGCUUUGGAGGUGGAAAGGGGACAAAGCCACAGAGCUGGUCAUUCCAUUCUCAGCUUGCCACAGACCAGCAACUGGAAGACACUCUGACAUAGUG
ensembl:snoRNA